AAUAAGUGCAGUUUUGCACUAUUCACGUUCAACGUUUGACCGUCCGUCUUAUUUGAAAAUUUUUUAUGAUUAGUAUUUUUAUUGGUAUUAGAUGAUAAAACAUGAAUAGUACUUUAUGUGUGACUAAAUGUUUUUAAGUUUUUCACAAAUUUUUCAAAUAAGACGGACGGUCAAACGUUGAACGUGAAUAGUGUAAAACUGCACUUAUU
rfam:Oryza rufipogon genomic scaffold, chr01